rnacentral:rRNA from 1 species
GACGAACGCUGGCGGCGUGCUUAACACAUGCAAGUCGAACGGAAAGGCCCUGCUUUUGUUGGGUGCUCGAGUGGCGAACGGGUGAGUAACACGUGAGUAACCUGCCCUUGACUUUGGGAUAACUUCAGGAAACUGGGGCUAAUACCGGAUAGGAGCUCCUGCUGCAUGGUGGGGGUUGGAAAGUUUCGGCGGUGGGGGAUGGACUCGCGGCUUAUCAGCUUGUUGGUGGGGUAGUGGCUUACCAAGGCUUUGACGGGUAGCCGGCCUGAGAGGGUGACCGGCCACAUUGGGACUGAGAUACGGCCCAGACUCCUACGGGAGGCAGCAGUGGGGAAUAUUGCACAAUGGGCGGAAGCCUGAUGCAGCAACGCCGCGUGCGGGAUGACGGCCUUCGGGUUGUAAACCGCUUUCGCCUGUGACGAAGCGUGAGUGACGGUAAUGGGUAAAGAAGCACCGGCUAACUACGUG